rnacentral:rRNA from 1 species
UCCGUAGGUGAACCUGCGGAAGGAUCAUUAACGAGUUGGAACGUGGAGGUUGAUGCUGGUGCAUAUAUUGUGUACAUGUGCUYGCCUUCACUUUCUUCAUCCACUCAACCCCUGUGCACUUUAUCAGAGUUAGUAGUGGUAAUUGCGGUAGUAAUCAUCUGGGUUACKACUGCUACUAUGAACACUUUGACUUUAUUUAUACAAACACUUUGCUUGUUCUUGUGAAUGUGUAAUGCUCCUUUGUGAGCAAAAUACAAAUAAUACAACUUUCAACAACGGAUCUCUUGGCUCUCGCAUCGAUGAAGAACGCAGCGAAAUGCGAUAAGUAAUGUGAAUUGCAGAAUUCAGUGAAUCAUCGAAUCUUUGAACGCACCUUGCGCCCCUUGGUAUUCCGAGGGGCAUGCCUGUUUGAGUGUCAUGUAAUUCUCAAUCCUCUUCUUCUCUGGGGAAGGGGCUUGGAUCUGGAGGUAUGCUGGUACUUGUCUGUAUCGGCUCCUCUCAAAUGCAUUAGCUGGACUGUAGUUCGCGUUGUUUGGUGUAAUAAUCUUCUAUCUAUAUUCACUACAGUGCUUACUUGGACUGUCUGCUUCCAACCGUCCGCCUAUGUGCUGGACAGGUAACUCUGUUACCUUUGACCCCUUUGACCUCAAAUCAGGUAGGACUACCCGCUGAACUUAAGCAUAUCAAUAAGCGGAGGAA